rnacentral:lncRNA from 1 species
GUUUGUAUCUGAGGUCCUCCAUAGAAAUGAGAGGAUUCUCAAUGGGGAGAAACAAUUCUGUUAUAAGAAACUGCUCAAAUCAAGACCAAAGAAAAACACAUGGAAAUUUCCUUCAGAGGAAGUUAACAGAUACAGUUCAAAUAACAAGCUCACAAAUCGUUGAGACCCAAGUCACCCCUCAAGUUAAGAAAAGAGCAAAUUGACAAGAUUCAUAAUAACGUCAAAAGGCAAUCAUGUUCUUAUUGAAUAUCUAUGGCAAUCCUCAGGUAGAUUACUCCAUGUUUUUCAUAAACAUAGAAUCACAAAGAAGCCUUAGGCUGUUGGGAAGCAGAACAUGCUGGCUUACUAUUGCACAAAGACAAAGAUAUUCACCUGGAAGCAUACUCUACAACCAAAAGUCACACCAUCGAUAUUAUUAUCUGUUUGUUUGAGAUCUAUUGCCGUAAACUAUGGUCUGAAGCUUUCGGUUCCUCAAAGCUGAGUCAACAUUGUUGAAAAUCUUCAGUGGAUUUGAUAUAAACACUACCAAUGCAGACAUUUUAUGGAAGAAAAAGGCCUUGUUGUUAUGAUCAGUAGAGCAUCAUCUAGAAUAGUGAUGUGGAUGAAUUUCACCACUAGAGCACUAAAUUCACCCCUGAAAUAAUAACACACAAAACUCUGAGCCGAUAUUGAGUGUUAAGGAUGUCCUUUCAUGUUUCCUCAUGAAGAUGAAGAUUAACUGCGGCUUGCCAAGCAUUUACAGGAUAAUCUUGUUUUUACCUUCAAAAGGCACAUUAAAUGUGAUGAAGCCAGAUAGGCCAGCACUCGUAUUUGCAAUGUUAUCUCCUCUGGUGCAUACAUGCAGCUGAUGCACUUAUGCUGUUGGGGCACUUUAAUAGGUCACUCUAUCAGAAAAAAAGAUGAAGUGUUAAAGGCUGUAUUGGGGCCUGCUAAGUGUAAUCCAAUACAGUGGGUCUGAUCCUGUCGAGUGUGUGAGAUACCGCAGAGGUUGUUAGGCAGUCUGUAGAGCGAGCCCCCCUAAGCUCACUUGCUUCUGGUUUUGUGUGAUUAUAAAGCCCACAAGUCAGGGGCAUCCAGUCCAGUAUCACCAAGAAGGUGCCAACAAUACUGUCAAUGGAAUGAUGCAUUUCUGUCAGUUCCAAAGACUGAGAGAUGCUAUUAAAUGAAUCUCCUAAUUAGCUAUUUUAAAAACAGCUACUUGGAAUGAAUAUAGUUUUGUUGAUUUAAAAAAAAUGAAUCUGCAUAUAGUUCUAGCUUUCAGGAAAAUAUGUCAUUUGGAUGUCAUAAAUAUC